rnacentral:rRNA from 1 species
AUUGAACGCUGGCGGCAUGCCUUACACAUGCAAGUCGAACGGCAGCGCGGGGCAACCUGGCGGCGAGUGGCGAACGGGUGAGUAAUAUAUCGGAACGUACCCUGGAGUGGGGGAUAACGUAGCGAAAGUUACGCUAAUACCGCAUACGAUCUAAGGAUGGAAAGUGGGGGCUUCGCAAGAACCUCAUGCUCCUGGAGCGGCCGAUAUCUGAUUAGCUAGNGGUAGGUAAAANCCUACCAAGGCAUCGAUCAGUAGCUGGUCUGAGAGGACGA